rnacentral:rRNA from 1 species
UAGCAUAAUAAUUAGUUUUUUAAUUAAGAACUAGAAUGAAUGGUCUUACGAGAAAAAAACUGUCUCAAUUUAAGUUAAAUUAAAAUUUUAUUUUUAAGUAAGAAAGCUUAAAUAAAUUUAAAAGACGAGAAGACCCUAUAGAGUUUUAUUUAUAUUAAUUAUUUUAAAAUUAAAGAAUUUUAUAUUUAAUUUAAUUAUAUUGUAAUUUAAUUGGGGUGAUUUAAAAAUUAGUGAAACUUUUUUUUAUUAAAAUAUCAUUAAUUUAUGAUUAAUUGAUCCAUUUUUAAAUGAUUAUAAGAUUAAAUUACCUUAGGGAUAAC